rnacentral:rRNA from 1 species
GAUGAACGCUGGCGGCGUGCUUAACACAUGCAAGUCGAACGGAAAGGCCCAAGCUUGCUUGGGUCCUCGAGUGGCGAACGGGUGAGUAACACGUGGGUGAUCUGCCCUGCACUUCGGGAUAAGCCUGGGAAACUGGGUCUAAUACCGGAUAGGACGAUGGUUGGGAUGCCAUGGUGGAAAGUUUUUUCGGGGUGGGAUGAGCUCGCGGCCUAUCCGCUUGUUGGUGGGGUAAUGGCCUACCAAGGCGUCGACGGGGAGCCGGCCUGAGAGGGUGUACGGCCACAUUGGGACUGAGAGACGGGCCAGGCUCCUACGGGAGGGAGCAGUGGGGAAUAUUGCACAAUGGGCGCAAGCCUGAUGCAGCGACGCCGCGUGGGGGAUGACGGCCUUCGGGUUGUAAACUCCUUUCGCUAGGGACGAAGCGUUUUUGUGACGGUACCUGGAGAAGAAGCACCGGCUAACUACGUG